UGGCUGUCACUAGUCCAACUGACUGCCCAUGAAGACAACCAAUCUUCAGAAUGGCCAGUGUUGAUAUGUCAUGUUGACCUCUUGUAAUCUUUCUCUGUAUAUUAGCCACGUGCAAGAUGGACUGGGAUGGAAAGAGAAAAUGGGCCCUUUGGGGUAAUACAGAUGGAAGAGAUGGGGUUUGGUGGCUAGGAUCAUAUCCAAUGCACCCAAAUUAAAGGAUGGGAUCAUAUCCAAUGUACCCCAAUAUCCCUGUUCCCUUCAGCGCAUCAUACAAAUAAGCUUACAUAAGAUCAAAACUCGAAUCUCACCGGCUACAACCUACCCACCCCUACUUUCUCACCUGAGAAGCUACUUGUAGUCCUCACCUCCACCCCAGUCAUUUAUGAGCCCAAAGAAGGGUCUUAUGUGCUUCUCUUGCAUCAGUAGGAGCCAUGUUCAGUAUCUGCUGCUGCCACUCGGAGCUACACUCUGGAACCCCCGCCCGCCACACAUCCAUGGCUGUGGGUCCCAAGGUAAUUCCAGGUUUACUGUACCAUCUCUUUCCCUUUCCGCAUGGCUCUUCCCUUCCCCAGGUCACACACAGCAUGAGAACUGGCUCAGGAUGCCUCCAGGGACCAGUGGUCAUCUUGGCAAUGCUACCUGUCUCCUGUCCUAUUGCUGAAUCACUCUGUUUAUACCAGACUCUAAAUUUCUUCGUUAAGACUGUCUCCUCAGCAAUUCCAGUUUGUCCCGACAACUUGGUUUCCAUCAGACUCUUCUACCAUUCUGAAUAACUGAACAUAAGUUAGGGAUGUAGUUCAAACUGCUACCCACCUGAUCCACGCAGGAGGCCUCUUAACCUCCAGGUGAAACCUUUACGCUCACCUGUUUCCUCCUGGCAGGUGGAUUCAGGUCUCAGCUACACAAGAGAUGCUGAAGUUACAACAAAUUAAUCACUGAAGACAGAAGUGAACAAUAGACAACAGGCAAAGACGAUUGUAGUCAGUGUCCCUAAGGCUGAAUGAGAUUUAUCUGUUGUCUGCACUGAAUAUAUAGUUGGGUAGUAUCCUGUGCUUGCAAAAUACAUUUGAAAAUCUGACUUAAUCAGGGACCACUGAUCUAAGCAAUAUGAUUUCCCUCUCAUUUACAGUGUGCUUAUGUCUUCUAUAGUUACAAUAUUAUCUAUCUGGAAUUUUCUUUGCUCGUUUCAAUUAAAAAUAGAAAUAUUUCAAAUAGGUAGUCACUUUAUUAUAGAUUGAAAGAGAAAGAAAGAAAGAAAGAAAGAAAGAAAGAAAGAAAGAAAGAAAAGAAAAUAGAGAAAAGGAAGGGGGAAGGAAGGAAAAGGAGAAGAAAAAAAGGAAAGAAACAGGGGGCAGAGAGAGAAGUAAAGGAAAGGAGGAAGGAAAAAAGAAAGGAAGGAAGGGAGGGAGAAAGGAAGUCUUCUUUUAGAUUUCUAGUUCUCAACCUGAGGUGCACAUUUUUUAAAAUGCCCUGUUCCUCAUCCUGGACCAAGUAACUCAGAAUCUCUUCAUGUUGGGCCUGGGCAUCUUCUCUCUCUCUCUCUCUCUGAUGUGUGUGUGUAUAUACACACACACAUACAUAUAUAAAUAUAAAUAUACAUAUACACAUACAAUACACAUAAACAUACACAUACACAUACGUGUACAUAUACAUAUACAUGUACAUAUACAUAUAUUUUAAAGCUCCCUCAUGAAUUUUACUUUGCGUUGCGUUGCGUUCACAGUUGAGAACUGCUGUUCUACGGGAAGUACCAGGAGAGGGAAGUUCACACACUUGCUCCAUCUUUGGAUGGAGGCAUUGCCUCCAUCUUUGAAAAGUCAAGCUUUAUUAUGUAAUAUUGAGAGAGUCAACCCAGGCCAAUUAUUAUAGUAGAGGGAGUCAUUGAGGAAAAAGUAUCUUCUUUCCACUGGCUGUGCAAAGUUUCUUGUAAAAAAAAAAAAGCUCAUGAACCUAAGAAUAAAAUGUUUCCUAAGUGAAGUGAUAUAUGCAUUAUUAUAUAAUUAGAUAUAUUCUAUAUAUAUAUAAAAUAAUUUAUAUGUAACGUAAAUUAUACUUAUAGAUUAUAUAACUAGAUAUAUAUGUUAUAUGUCAGAUAAUUAAUAAGUAACACUUUUGUUGACAUUUAACUACAUCAAGAAGAAAACUUGUUGGACCAGAAAUGUCAGUGGGUGAGAAGUUUAAAAAAAACAAACCGAUUUGAUCAGGGUUUUUUUUUUCCCAUAAAACUGCAUCUUUUCUAUGAGAGAUUUUUCCAUUUAUUUGGCCCUGUUUAUAAGCAUGUUUGAUUCCGUCAUCACCCUCAGGCCAACAAAGCAGGAAAAAAAUGUUAAAAUUCUGUACAGAGGUCAAUAAGACCUUAAAUCAGCAACUUGAAACCACAAGCUUGCAAAAUAUGGCAUUUGAAGUUGUUCUUUGGGAAUGUAUAAGUAAUGUGGGCCUGAAAUGAAAACUAAAACAAGAUAGGUAGUUAUGGAUGUGCAUUUUCAUGUCUCUGUUCCAACAUUCAUACUAACAUGAAAUACCAUAUUCAAAGAAUUCAGUAGGCCCCAAUAAAUAAUCAUUUCCUCUCCUUUGGAUUAUCAUAAAGUAUCUGUGAGGGAAUUUUAGAUUCUAAAUUCUGUUUACCAAUGACAGAUUUAAAAAGACGAUUUAAAAACAAAAUACAGGAUGGGGUGCCUGGGUGGCUCAGUGGGUUAGGCAACCGACUUCGGCUCAGGUCGUGAUCUCACAAUUUGUGGGUUCGAGCCCUGUGUCGGGCUCUGUGCUGACAGCUCAGAGCCUGGAUCCUGCUUCAGAUUUUGUGUCUCCCCCUCUCUUUACCCCUCCCCUGCUCAUGUUCUGUGUCUCUCUGUCUCUCAAUAAUGAAUAAACGUUAAAAAAAAAUUAAAAACAAAAUACAGGAGCACCCAGCUGGCUCAGAUGGUUAAGUGUUUCACUCUUGAUUUUGGCUUAGGUCAUGAUCUCUUGGUUUAUGAGAUCCAGCCUCACUUUGGGCUCUGCACUGGGCGUGGAGCCUGCUUGGGACUCUCUCUCUCUCUCUCUCUCUCUCUCUCUCUCUUCACACCCCCCCCACCCCUCUUCCCUGCUCAUGCACGCUGUCUCUCAAAAUAAAUAAUAAAUAAACAUAAAAAAAUAAAAAUAAAAUCCAAAUGGGAUACAAUUUGCAAGAGAGAUGUUUCAUUUGUUGGAUCCUGACCUAUUUGCAUAGAGUAGAGGGAUCAUGUGACAACUUGGGUUUUUGCAGGAUUAUUGCUGACAUAAUAGUCUUGCUUUCUGAAAUAGAAACAUUACUGUUGUAGGGCUGUGCUGUUGGCUGCAAGAAACACAUUUGCUUCAAUAGAAAUGGCCCCUUGUUCUUCCUUUAAAUGCGUGUUCUGUUGUAUGGAAGAAGGCAUUUUGUAAGACAGUCCGUGUCUUGAAGGGUUGUUUUUAAAAUAGUGCCAGGCUAUGCUGGACAGAUGAGCAUUGAUACCAAAGAUGUUAUGGCCAGAGAAAAAUGUAUGCAAAUGUCAGCUUACCAGAAGAAGAAAGAGUUCUGAAGGACAAGGCUAGUAAGCCUGUUUAGGAAGGCAAGUUAGUUUGUGGUAUGCCUCAAGGAACUCCAAGAAGUCUGGCCAUGUGUUCUGUCAUGUCUCUUCCCCACUCACAGACCUCUACUGGUUUCCCAUCUCACUAGGGGUAAAUGCCAAAAUCCUCCCAAGGCACUACAAGAUCCGACUAGAAGCAUGCACACCACCCACCUCCUUCCACCCUAGCUUCCAUCCCUGUCCCUGUUUCUUUAGCCUGCAGCCACACCUGCCUUUCCGAGGUGCACCAAGUUCAUGCCCAUCUCAGAGUCUGUUCUUUUGAUGACCUCUACACCUCUCUGUGUUCCUUACCAGGUUUGUUUUUCUCUACAGUUCUUAUCGCCUUUGGACACACUGUUCCCUUACUUGUGUUUUGUUUGUAUCUGUCUACCGUCACCAUGAAAACAGAGGCUUUUUCAGUUUUGCUCACUGUCGUCUUGGCUGGCUGAAUUGCCAGCACCUCGGAUAGGGUCUGGCACUUAAUAAAUGCUCAGUCAAUAUUUUUGGAAUGAAUGUAGGGUUUUCAUCCUACUUUUUAUCUAAUAUAAUCCAUUCUUAGAGGUCUGGUCCCAGUGAUUCUGUGGAAUCAGGUCUCACUUUAGGUCAACUCUUACUCAAGGAAACCUCAUUAGAUCCAUUGCCAAUAAAUAAUCUGUAGAAAGUCUAAAGAUAGGUGGUUCAGGGCUAAGUAUUACAUGUCUAGUCCAGUCCAUCUAUAACAUUGUAUUCUCCCUGAUCCCCUUCUCCUUCCUUUCUCUUCCCUUCCCUUCCCUUCCCCAGGAGCCAUAGUGUAGCUGCAGUUACUAAGUGACUUUGAAGCAGGGACAGGGAACCCUUUGAAGCUGAAGACCUUGAUCCUCUCCUCCUUCAGGAGGUGCUGUCUUUCCCUUGAUGAAGACAGGGCUCUGCCUUGUACCCUCAGAAUGGCAGUGCAUGUGGUCCCAGUGAGUCAUUCACAUGAUGACACUGUUUACACAUUUGUUGUCACCAUUAGUGAGAGGAUCCCGCAGCAUCGUGUCCCAUCUGCAAGGUUCAGGCAGUGCUAGAAGAGCUAGAAGAGAUGUCUCCUGCUCCCUUUGAGGUUGAUUUCUGAAGAACCGCUGGUUUUGUUUAAAAUAUUUUUUAAAUGUUUUUAUUUGCUUUUGAGACAGAGAGAGACAGAGCAUGAGCAGGGGAGGGGCAGAGAGAGAGGGAGACACAGAAUCUGAAGCAGGCUCCAGGCUCUGAGCUGUCAGCACAGAGCCCGAUGCGGGGCUUGAACCCAUGGAGUGUGAGAUCAUGCCCUGAGCUGAAGUCAGACGCUCAGCCGACUGAGCCACCCAGGCACCCCAGGUUUUGUUAAUUAAAUUACACAGCUCCCUGGGAGGAGUACUAGCUGAUUACUAGUUGGUGACCCUUGCCUUUGAAGGAGUUUUCAAUCUUCUGGAAAAGGUUGGGGAGGGAAAGGGGAGCAGGCCUAGGAGGCUGGGUGGGUCAAAGACCAACCUAACCAAUUUCUUUUCUUCUUCUUCUUCUUCUUCUUCUUCUUCUUCUUCUUCUUCUUCCUUUUGAGAGAGAGAGAGAGGGAGUGAAAGUGCACAUGCAUGUGAGCAGGGGAAAGGGAGAGAAUCCCAAGCAGGCCCCAUGCCCAAUGCAGAGCCUGAUGAGGGGCUUGAUUUCACGACUGUGAGAUCAUUCCUGAGCGGAAAUCAAGAGUUCGACAACUGAGCCACCCAGGUGCCCCAGCCUAACCAAUUUCUGUUGUUCCUUGGACCAACCACCAGAGCAGGUAGAGUGCCAGGAGGCCCCCAGGUCCCAGCAGCAGCAGUUGUGCCCUGGGUGCCCCCAAUACAAGGCAGCAUGGAAAGUGACCAACAGUACCACUUCACAGUCAGACAGACCUUGGUUCAUAGCCUGGCUUUUGUUCCCCCAAACCCUAGCUGUGCGAUUGUCAUCAAAGUAUUCUACCUAAACUCUGCAUCUCAUUAUCUGUAAAAUGAAAGUAAUACCUACCACACAUGAUUACUGUAAGGAUUAAGUGAUAUCAUUUAUGUUAAGCAGUUACCACAGUUCCUGGCACCUAAAAGUUCACAAGAAAAGACAACUCCCCAGAAGCAGACAAGACCCGGAUCAUCCCUCAAGAAUAUUAGACUUAUGGAAUGAAUCUUGAUUCUUCCUGCUAGAAUCUCUAUGUUUUCAUCUCAAAGAACUUUGGGAAACUCACAGCUAAGCUAGGGUCCUUUACCUUCCUCCGUGUGUGUGUGUGUGUGUGUGUGUGUGUGUGUGUGUGUGUGUAAGAGAGAAACGGAGGCAGAGAAAGAAACAAAGGGACAGGGAGAGACAGAGUGCUGUGUACCAGUGUGACACAGGAGAUUAUGAAACAAACAAACAAACAAACCUAUGUUGCUCUGCAAUGCCAUAAGAGCUAAUAUCAGUUAUUAACUUGUGUUCAUUAAAAGAAAAUCUAUUUCUCUGUCUUGACUUUGGAAUAAAUACUUGAUAAAACUAAGGCAAUUUUCUUAGCAACUUUUCUUAGAUCUUUUUAAAAAAAUGUGUGUAGAAGCAUUUUUAAAUCUCUCAGACAUGUUUUCAGAACAUUUUCCAAAUUAAAAAAAAAAAUCAGUUUUGUUCAGAUACUUUAGGUUCUGGAAAUAAGCUAUUUCCUGUCCACUUUGACACAAAAACAUUCCUUCUAGCUUUUUAAGAAUACAGUCCCUUGUUGAGAUGUUGGCUUCCUGGUUUAGGGAAUGAAUUCUAAUCAUUUCUAAAUUUUCAACCCCUAUUCUACACUGAAAAUUCAAGUAAAAUGACAAACGGUGAGGGAAUUUAUAACAUAAACUCCUGGAUGUAAAGUGAAAAACAGUGAGGUGUGUCCAUGAUUGUAAUAACAAUAAUAAUUAAAACCGAUUGAAGAUUUAUUCAGGACUGGGCACUGUUCCAAGAACUUUACAUUGUUAAUUCAGUUAAGUCUCACAACAAUUUUUCCAGGAAGACUCUAUUAUCCUUAACAUUUUACCACAUACUGAGGCACAUGAUGGUUAGUCAACACACAAGAUCAUGCAGUUAGAAAGUAUAUUCUACACUCUGAAUAUAUUGCCUUCUAUAAAUAAAAUUGUAUAUCUUAUUAUUCAUGGAAAGGGAAAGUGAGGCUUUUAGAGACCCAGAGAUUUGCCCAAGGUUGUAGCAAGUACAGGCAGAGAAAGGACUUGAACUUAGGAAAGUCUGAGUCCAAAGUUCUCCUGUUAUACCGCCCACCCAAUGUACACAUCAUUUUCUAGGGUAGGCUUGACCAAUCAAUGGUAACUCAGCUUCUGCCUCCAUUAUCCACUCCCCAGGAACACAGAUGGCCCUUUACUGAAUCACCCUGCUGGUUGGGAGUUUUCUUACAUAUUGGGCUGCUGUGCUGUGACUUAAUUCCAUGUUUCCCAACUUGUGGGGUGCCUUGGUACUAAGCUGCACUAUAUGAACCAUGUAUCUUUAGGAAAAUAGAGUUAAAAGGUGCCAUACAGUGGUGUCCCAAUCAUGAUCCUUGGAGCCCUUAGGUAAAAAUGUCCUGGCCACCUUGGCUGAUUGUACAGACAUGAACUCAUCUCGCUUCUAAGCACACAGGCAGCAUCUGAGCACAACCAAAGCCCUUGGUUCAAUUCCGUCUAGUUCCACAGGCAUUAUAUUAAUAGGCAAAAAAAGAAAGAAGAAAGAAAGAAAGAAAGAAAGAAAGAAAGAAAGAAAGAAAGAAAGAAAGAAAAGAAAAAGAAAUUUGUGACUGGACUUGGGUGUGGAAUUUAGAGACUCUUACUGGAAUUAGAAACAAUUCUAAUCACAUGAAUUCAAAUCAAAUACAAUUACAAAGAGAUUCUCAAAUUGGAAGAAAGUAAUAUAUUCACAAGUAUUUAUAUGUAUGUGUGUUUUGUAAUGAGCAUUUACUGGGUAGCUAUUUGCCAUAGGUUUUGGAGUGAGAUAGCCUUGCGCUCAGAUCCCAGCUCUGUCAUUUUUUGAGCUAGGUAAACUGGGUAGUUAAUAACCUCUCUAAGACUUGGCUUCCUCAUCUCUAAACAGGAAUAAUAAUAUAUAUUAUGGGUAAUAAUGGGAUCACUGUGAUGAUUAAGUGACAUAAUGUGUAUGUAAAGUAUAAAGUCUGUAGCAAACAUACUUUGGCACUCAGUCCAUGGUGGUUAUUACAGUAGCUACUUAUUCACUUACUUAAAAAGUAAAAUUUAUUGAGUUCUUACAUAGUAGAACCAUACAUCCAAGCUUCAUGCCCUAGGCGCUGCAGGUACAGUGCUAAAAAGAUGGAGACGGCCCCUGACUUUCCAGAGCUUGUAGUCUAGCUGAGAAAAGAAUCACUAAACAAAUAAUAAAAAAAUGGAGAAUGGGUUAUAUAAGAGAGGAAGCAUAGGAAAGUAUGGAGUGUAUAACUUUGAGCGUUCGGGAAGGAGCCCCUGAAGCAAAUUAUGAGCCCUAGGGUAAGAGUCAACAACAGGCAGAUGGGGGGUGCAUGUGGGUGGGUGGACAGCAUGUCCCAGGCAAGGGAACAGCGCACACAAAGUCAAGAAGUAAGAGAUCAGAAAUAUGGUAGGAAGGAAAGAUCCCUGAGGUGCCAGAGAGAUUGACAGAAGGGUUGGGCUCAGAGUGGGACCAAAUUGUGAAGGACCUUGUGUAAGCCAUGUUAAAAAGUCUGUCUGGGUUUUGUCUGAAAGUCCUAUAAAGCCAUUGAAAAGCUUUUAUUGGGUGGGGGUUGGCUUCAGGGUAAGAGAAAGGAGCAAGUCUUGACCAUGGAGACAUUUAUCAUCUCAAGGUAAGAGGGGCUGAAGGGGAGGAAAGGGGACACUAACAGAAAUGCACAGUUAAAGAAGGCCCAGGAAGAAAAAUACGGAUGCAAAGUUCUAGGUGAGAAUUUUUAAAACAGGUGGUGACCCCAUCUAACUGAGAUGGCAUUUGAGAUAGAUCUUAAAAAUGAGCACUUCGGGGACAAGAAGAGCCAAUGGUGGUGAGUGGCACUUGCCCCGCUGGACACUGGGUCUAAGAGGUAAAAUUAGCAGGCAUACUCUAAAAGCGCUCCUGGCUUAUGUUAACCGGCUCUACAUUUCGCUUCCUUCCACUUCUUCGUAUGGCUUGGAGAGAAAACUCUGCCACCCUUACGGCAGCCCUGAAGCCCACGUCCUGUAAAUUUCAAAUCAUUUCCAUGUGUUCCCCCCUCCUCCAUUCUUCCAAGGUUAGUUCCAGCUGGAGGUCUGUGUAAGCUUCUAGCUUUGCAGAACACUUCCUCUACACCCCCUCCAGCUGUGAACUUUUUACCUGUGCUUCACUACAGUGUCUACAUGCUUAGUGAGAAGUUAAACCAGUACAGGAAAUACUACAUCAUCCCACUGGCAUUACCAGUUAAAUCGCCGAGUGCCUGGGCCUUAUGAGGUUGAGCCAUUUAUUAUAAAUGCCACAUCACAGUUGCAGCAACUUUUUGUGUCCUGUGAGCCAUUCUCUGGUCACACAAACCAAAGCAAAAAAGCACCCUGUUCCAACCCUCCCAAACCUUACUUUCUGUUAUCGUAAUUGAUUAAAUAUAUGAAAAGAAUAUCAAAGCUGUAGGAUUUUUUUUUUAAUUUGAUUACUUACACAGCCAUUUUUCUUUUAAAUAAAUGUCUUUCCUUUAAAUAAUGCCCAAAGUGGAGCUUUUCUUGCAAGUGUGAUGGUCUCCUGUCUUGUUUUGAGACUCCCAUUCGGUGAUGUGCCUGGUCUACACAGAGCUUUCGUGUUAAUCAUCUGAUUCACGGUACUUGGAACACGGUGGGUUUUCAGUAAAUGUGUCUCACGCUGCUUUGAAGAGCCCUCUGUUCCCAGAGGUUAAAUACUGGUCAGGUCACUUUGGAUUUGUUGUUUUCAGUUAGAGUUACUGUUACUAUGGGCAGUCAAUCAGAAAGUGUUCCUUGUAUGCAGUCAUGAAAUUGUUAGUACUCCGAGCAACAAGAACACCAUAUGACGUGAGAAGCAAAGGCUUUUUUGCUCAUUGAGAGGAAAGUGGGGUUUUCUUCAUUUUAUUUCAUUUAUAUUUGGGAGGAGUCUAUAUUAAGUAGGAUUAAUUUGAGAUACUUUGUCCUAACGCAGAGAAAAAUUAAGAAAUGGGCGGAGGAAGCAAGAGCAGGAGGGAAGAAGGAAAAAGAAAGAAAGGAAGGAAAGAGGGGAAGUUUUGUUUGAAGUGGAUAUUAUUUACCUGAAAAUAUUUCCUUUGAAAUUCUGAAUUACAGAUUUUUCUCCCUUUCAUCUAGAAAGAAAGUGACUUGUUUUGUAGGAUUUGUGGGUCCUUCACUCUUUACUCACGUAUGACAUCCAGAUGGUGGUGGACACUGUAUUCCAGGAAAACAAAGUAGUUCCAGUUUUCUCUACUUGAACAACUGAUGCGCCUACUAGGAAACUGUAUUCAUCUUUUCAAACUUGCUUUCCCCCUUUAUGCUUCCUCUUCUCGUGACAUUGCUCAGAAAAGAAGACCCGCACUGCACGGCUUUCCUGCCUCCGGGUCAUUUAAAACAGCACUGUCGCCCAUCAGAUAUGCACUCUGUCAUGUGAACUUUUGUCCUGCACCUAACUGUUGAAACCACUCCGUCUCUUCAUCCAGAAAAAACAGGAGAGAACAGUCCAAGCGGACAGUUUCUUGUCAUCAAAAGAAUAGCUGUCAAUCUCCUGAAAACAAAUCCAGAGGAGUUCUAAAUGAAUCCCUGAUGUGAGCAUUUUCUUGGUAAUUUGACAACCUAGCAGAUUUCCUUAAGGAGAAAUUAUAGAGCAAAUGAGCAUUAUUCCGGAAUCGCCAGACACACGGGCCUGUUCUUUCCCCUCCCACAUUUUUAUUUAAAUUCCAGCCAGUUAACAUAUUGGCCUCAGGUGUAGAAUUUAGUGAUUCAUUGCUUACAUACAACAACCCGUGCUCAUCACAACACAUGCCCUUCCUGAUCCCGAUCACCUAUUAAACCCAUCCCCCCCCCACCUCCCCUCCAGUAACCCUCAGUUUGUUUUCAAGGAUCUGUUGUAUGGUUUGCCUUUUGUCCCCCUAUGUUCGUUUGUUUUGUUUCUUGAAUUCCACAUAUGAGUAAAAUCAUAUGGUAUUUGUCUUUCUCUGACUGACUUAUUUCACUUAGCGUGAUACUCUCUAGAUCCAUUCACAUUGUUACAAAUGGCAAGAUUUCCUUCUUUUUAUGGCUGAGUAGUAUUCCUCUGUGUGUGUGUGUGUGUGUGUGUGUGUGUGUGUGUGUACCACAUAUCACGUCUUCUUUAUCCAUCGGUCAGUCAAUGGGCAUUUAGGCUCUUUCCAUAAUUUGGCUGUUUUAUUUGUCAAUAAUGCUGUUAUAAACAUCAGGGGGCAUGUAUUCCUUCGAAUCUGUAUUUUUAUAUCCUUUGAGUAAAUACCUUUGAGAAGUGUAAUUGCUGGAUCAUAAGGUACUUCUAUUUUUAAACUUUUUGAGGAACCUCCAUACUUGUUUCCAGAGUGGCUGCACCAGUUCGCAUUCCCACCAACAGUGCAAGAGGGUUCCCCUUUCUCCACAUCUUGCCAACACCUCUUAUUUCCUGUAUUGUUAAUUUUAGCCAUCCUGACCAGUGUGAGGUGAUAGCUCAUUAUAGAUUUUUUUUUUUUUUUCGAGGGCCGGGGGGAGCAGAAGUAGAGAGAGAGAGAGAGAAUCAUAAAGAAGGCUUUAUGCCCAGCUCAGAGUCCAACUCAGUGCUGGAUUUCACGACUAUUAGAUCUGAGCCGAAAUCAAGAGUCAGAUGUUUAACUGACUGAACCACCCAGGUGCCCCAUCAUUAUAGUUUUGAUUUGUAUUUCCCUGAUGGUGAGUGACGUUGAGCAUCUUUACAUAUGUCUGUAGCCAUCUGGAUAUCUUCUUUGGGAAAAUGUCUAUUCAUGUCUUCUGCACAAGUGGAUUAUUUGUUUUUUGGGUGUUCAGUUUUGUAAGUUCUUUAUAUGUUUUGGAUACUCACCCUAUGUCAGAUAUGUCAUUUGCAAAUACCUUCUCCCAUUCCAUAGGCUGCCUUUUAGUUUUGUUGAUUAUUUCCUUUGCUGUGCAAGAGCUUUUUGUUUUGAUGAAGUCCCAAUAGUUCAUUUUUGCUUUUGUUUUCCUUGCCUCAGGAGACAUGUCUAGCAAGAAGUUGCUGUUUCCGAUGUCAAAGAGGUUACUGCUUAUGUUCCCCUCCAGGAUUUUGAUGUUUCGUUUGUCACAUUUAGGUUUUGAAUCUUUGAAUUGAUUUUUGUGUUUGGUAUGAGAAAGUGGUCCAGUUUCCUUCCUUUGCAUGCUGGGGUCCAGUUUUCCCAAUACCACCACAGGUGCCUCUUCUUUUCAGUUUCUUUCAUCUAUGCAUCUCUAUAUAUUUCAGAUGCAGAUUAACUUGAGAAUCAAAAGAGCUGACCUCAGGUCCAGCAUCCCAUGAGACCCAGAAAUCACCCUAGCUCUUGGGUUCUAAGUUUACUCCACCAUGAGGCCAAAGAAUGUGACUUGAGACUGGCCUCAUGACAAAAAGGUUAUGAUAGUCACGAAACAGAUUCAGGUUACACAUUCUCUGGGUUACUGCUUUGUCAGUUUUGCUAGUAAUAACUCUCUUAGAUCCCAACCACAGGACUACCAUCAGUAGAGUAAAACUUAGCAGUGAUCGUGAAAGAGGUAAUUUUAUUGCCAAAGAACUCUAAUUUUCUCCCUGGGAGUAGUAACCUUGAGUAUGACACUUCAUUCAUAAAAAAGAGGGCCUCACCUUUAACAAAUUGCAGUGCAUUUAUACUCUUGAAAGAAGUGCAAUACCGUGUAAUUUCCACUUAAAUUCCCAUUUUCCUCUCAUCAGUUCUUUUCAUUUAGACCCAGGGCCUCGGUGUAUGCAUUGAUGUUCUCACUGAAAUGUGUUAAAGUGGUUAUUUGGGUAAUGUUGCGCUGUGGAAUAAUAUAAAUAUCAGCAUUUUCUAAAUAGAAAAAGUCAGGAUGUAUGGUCUGAAAAAAAUCAGAAUCACAGAGACACAAAGACAAAAUCUGUAAUUUUUUUAAUGGUUAUUUCUGAUGUGUGGGUGUGGAGGCAGAGAGAGAUAGAGACUCAGAAUCCAAAGCAGGCUCCAGGCUCUGAGCUGUCAGCACAGAGCACAGUGUGGGGCUUGGACCCACAAACCGCAAGAUCAUGACUUGAGCCAAAGUCAAGAUGCUUAACUGAGUGAGCCAUCCAGGUGUCCCGUCAAGGACAAAAUUUGUAAUUGAAGAAAGACAUACUACAUAACACAAGAACAGGUUUCAAGUAGAUUGAAUUCUAUUGGGGAUAUUGGAGACAUCGUCGUCAGUUCAUUGUGCCGUAAAGUGUACUAUCUUUCUCCAAAACUUUCAACUCCAUGUUUUGUCUACUUAUAAUUGGGCCCAAAAAGUUCAUCAUACAUUCUUCUAGCCAUUGCAUUUAUAAACUUGGCCAUUAGUAUGGUGGAGUCAUUUUACACAAUUCUUUUAACCUUCAAUUCAGAAAGUUCCUGCCUCACUUCACCACUUCAGCCCAUGGCUGCAGCCACAGUUAAUACGCCACACACAAAGCUCUUUCAUCCACAUGCUGCUCCCUCUCCCGGAAGUACCUUUCUUCUUCCCUCCUGGCUUUAGCCAGUUGCCUAGUCCCAGCUCAUUGAUCAUCUCCAUCAGCAGAGUUCAGUGUUAGGUUCCCACAGCACCUUUCAGCAUAUUUCUAGUUUAGCACUUCCCACAUUGAUCUGGUUGUUUCCUUAGAAUCUUGCUUCUCCCAUGGAAAUGUCAGAAGCUCAAGGACAAGGACCACUUUCUGUCCAUCUUAAAGUCCUCACUGAUCAGGAGAAUGCCUGCCCCUUGGUCAGUGCCCAGAAAAUGUUUUUGGAAUACACCAAAGAGGGUAGUCUUAUCCACUUGUAUGUUUAUUGCAUAAUGUGGGCUUCUUUGUGCUUUCCUUAACCUUAUAAUUCACCAUAAAACAUACAGAGAACACACAAGUAGGAGAUUAGAAAAUCUGAAUCAGUGCCCGUAGAGGAACAAGCAAUGAGCUAAAACCCAGAUUGAAUUUUUUUUAAUGUUGCUUUCUGCUACAAGAGGACCCCUCCUCUUGUAACCCAGUGGUAUUAUCAGAAAGAAAUUUAAAGUGAUUCAAGAAACUCCAUCAACUCUCUUAGUCAUGGUUUUACAGAGUCACCACCUUGGGCACGUGAAUGUCUGUGACAGAGAGAGUCAGGUCAAGAGGCCUAAUUCCUCCCACUUUAUCCAGCUUACCUUAGGUUAAUUACCCAAAAUCUCUGUGGCUCAGUUUCCUUCGAUGAGGUAGUUAAGUCUACUUCACAGAGUUGUAGGGAAUACCUGGAUUCCUCUUAUGUAAAGGACUUGACCCAGGACUUGUCAGCAGGUCACACUGUAAGUAGAAUCUGGCACAUUUGGACUCUAAAUCCGUGGAGCAGGGGAUACCCUAGCAGGCCGGUGGACAGGAUUCUGACAGCUCUCGCCACAGCAAUAGAGAAAAUCGGGUACUACUUAAACCAAGUACCUCAAAGGGGAGUCUUACCCUUGCCAAAACUGCUCAGGCUUCUAUGGUCCCAUGAUGGCUUUCUGCUCUGGGGAUAAAGUGAAAGUUUCUGUCUGAGGCUGACUGCAGUAUUGGCCAGCUUGCCAGAGGCAUGGCAUCCCCAGCCCUCUCUCCAUCAUCCUAAGCUUAGAAGUAAUCAGAAAAGCAUAAGUAUGUAAUUUUGGUCCACAGAUUCACCCAAUAAAGGCAUGUAUACUACACAUCAGACCCUUAUUUGAAGCCUUACUGACUCUGACGCACAUUUAAGAUAUAAUUUUUAAUAAAUUUCCUGAAAUGACUCUUGGCCCUGCAAAUUGAAAGAGAUUAUGAAAUCACUGCUAAAAGUAAGGGUAACUUGCAGUGAAAAGUGUUAACUGCCUGGUAUUAUGAGACCUGGAAAAUUAGACACAGAACAGGAUCACUGUCCAGUAGGAUAAUGGAUGUUCCUAAGAGAUCACUCUGAGUCAUGUAAAACAAAUAAAAUAACAUAAAAACCUUAAGUCAUGUUCAAUACGUAUGAAAUAUACUUUAAGAAAGAUUUCUGUUCAAAAGUUUUUUUUUCAGUGGUCUGCAGAGUUUGCUUAUGUGGAACACCUUGUUCUCUGCCAAAGCCAAAUAUAAAUGAAGUAUCUCUGUAUUUAGAGAAGAGGAAAGUGGAACGUUUGUUGUAAUAAUGUUUAUCUUUUUUGUUUUGAUACUUGUUAUGAACUAUAAAGCUGGCUCUUGCCCCCCCCACCCCACCCCACCCCAAAAGAUUAUUGAAAAGCAAACUCAACUGUAUACUGCCAGCUUCUUGAGGAUCAGGGACAUUUUAUUUUGUUUACCAAGUCCAGAUCAGGCUCUGGCACUCGGAGGUUAUUUGUUUUUGAAUGGGGAGAUGGAUAGAUGCUGGGGAGCAUGACAAUCAUGGAUGUGUAACUGAUGCCAGUGUGUAAGUUAAAAAAAAAAAAUCCAAGUCUAGUCUCACUUCUGCUGCUGUCCAUCUGGGUGAUUUGGGGCAAACCUUUUACAUCUCUGGGCUUCAUUUCCCUCAUCUGUAAAAUGAGGAAGUUGGACUAGAUCAUUUUAUAAAGUCCCUCCCGAUUCCCAACAGCCUAUGCUUUUAUAGAGAAAAAAGAUCAGUUCUUUUAUGCAUGUGACACAUAAUUGAAAGUCGCAACUAAAGUGAUGUAGAUCAAUACAGCAAGCAGCAAAUUUCAUUUCAAGGACAUUGGUAUUCUUGGAAUACAGUUAGCAUCCUUUUGGCUUUGUCUAAAGCACAUACUAUGCGGUCAAAAUGGCUUGUCCACAUUUUUUUUUUUUUUUUUUUUUUUUGAAUGAAAGGAUUUGUGCCUCCCACAUGUAGGGCUUGGCGUAUUGUAAAUGGUAGCCUACACAUAGGCAAAUGAGAACUGGGAAGAUAAUUAAAUCUGAGGUGGAAAUAGAGCAGACUUGUGAAUGAACAAAGGAAGUGUGUUUCUCUGGAAGCCAAGAUGUCAAAGAUACAUUUUAUUAGUACUGCACACUUUCAGCUUUCAUGUAAAUCAGUAUUCAGCUGCUUCAAAUGUUCUAACUCUGCAUUUCUGAAGAAUCCAUUGUGUAUAUUAACUGUGGGGAUGUCAGGCAUUUUUAAAUUCCAAACUUGGGGAGAGAUUCACUGACAUGCGUGACACUGUACCUGAAGAAUCAAAUGGUCAGAAUGCACUUUAUUUUUGAGCUAAAAGUGAAAACAAACAGAUUCAUUUCUAAGACUUCUGGGCCUCUUGCUCCUUUUUUUCUUUCUUUCUCACAAAACAGACAUGGAAUGAAAAUGCAACUAAAGGCUUCUCAAAUGCUUCCUGACCACAUACCUUUCCAGUGGCUCAGUUUUGGCAAAGUAGCUCCAGACCCUACCACUGUCCAAGCUCCCACCAUCCUUCCUUAUGACUCACACUGACACUUGAGUGCUAAGAGGCCGUUCUGUGGCUGCAGGGAUGCCCAGUUAAAACAAACAUAGCUGAAAGCGAACCCGAAAGUCGUUUGGUUCAAUCCCCUUAUAUCAUAGAUGGAAACGGAGGUCCAGGGAGGUGACAUUACUCACACAAGGUAACACAUAAGUCUCUUGAUUUCUAACCCAUUGCUCUUUUCACAGGUACGUUAGUCCCUGACAAAUAAUAACCCCCCCCCCACCAAAAAAAUGGUGAGAGGAACCAGACCCUUUAAAAAAACAACAGGAUUAUAACAUUAUUACUUUUUUUCACAUGGUCUAUCUUUCACCUUUUUACAUUGUUGCUUUUGUCUUGUCAGUUUCUUGUAGAAACAUGACUUACUGCUUGGAAAUUCAACUUGGCAUUUUCUUUAGACAAAGUGAUCUUUUAAACGUAGCCAACAUUUCUUUUGGAGUAUGACUCCAUUUCACAUAACACGUCUUAAGAUUGAUGUUUACUAAGUUGGUUGUUUAAAUCAUGUUCGGAGCUUGGUUACAUGGGCCGUUUCUUUGUCUCUGUGUCUCCCUCUCUCUCCUUUUUCUUUGUGCUUGACACAAAAGGAUGGGGCCCCGAGGAUCAUCUGGAAAUGGAUCAGUGUAUUCAUGUGUGAGCUUUACAAAGCACUGAGGCAAAGGUGUCAUUAAAUGUUAGAAGUCAUUCAAUCAUGCCCAUCUCUUCAUAUGAAGUAAAGAGGGAAAAGGCUCUGUAUGGUAACUAUCCACAAAGCUUUGUGUAUUCAGUCACCUCCUACUUCUCCGAGGAGCUGACUCCCAUUUUUGCUUCUCUCACCCUUAGAGGAGGUUUGAGAUUAGCAUUGUUUUUAUGAAUCUGAUCUUAAUACUCGGCUCUUGUUUCAUGCUGAAAGUAACUCAAGUGAUAGAUUUUUAGAGAGCUGCUGAGUUUAAUCCUGAUUAUGUUUCCUUUCAAAUGACCGAGGUUUUCCUGUGUAUCCAUGAUCCUGCCAGGGACUUGGCAAGAGAAAAGAAUGACUCUUACCCCAAAAAAGAGAAUUAACUGUCUACCCUUAAGUAUGUUUCUAGCAGCCUAUUUUAGGUAUUAAAUGUAAAAGUCAAUUAAGGGAGGUUUCAAUGUAUCGGUAUCCUGUUUGUCCUGAAAUAUAAAUAGAAGUUUGAGAGUUUUGAAGCAGAUGCCAUCUGCUGGAUAGUUAAGAAACUGUAAUUUAAAAAAAAAAAAAAAAAAAAAGAUAUGAAUAGAAAACCUAUGGAACAGUUUACCUUAAAGAAUAGAUUGCUAAUUUAAGGAAAUGCUAAUUCCCAGGCCCCAAGUAAAGCGCCAUCUCUCCAACUUGCUGUCUACAGUCUAAAUGUUUACUUUGUUUUUCUAAUCUGAAUAAAGAUAUUCCUUCCUGUUCGUGUGCAA